rnacentral:rRNA from 1 species
GACGAACGCUGGCGGCGUGCUUAACACAUGCAAGUCGAACGGAAAGGCCCUGCUUUUGUGGGGUGCUCGAGUGGCGAACGGGUGAGUAACACGUGAGUAACCUGCCCUUGACUUUGGGAUAACUUCAGGAAACUGGGGCUAAUACCGGAUAGGAGCUCCUGCUGCAUGGUGGGGGUUGGAAAGUUUCGGCGGUUGGGGAUGGACUCGCGGCUUAUCAGCUUGUUGGUGGGGUAGUGGCUUACCAAGGCUUUGACGGGUAGCCGGCCUGAGAGGGUGACCGGCCACAAUGGGACUGAGAGACGGCCCAGACUCCUACGGGAGGCAGCAGUGGGGAAUAUUGCACAAUGGGCGGAAGCCUGAUGCAGCAACCCCGCGUGCGGGAUGACGGCCUUCGGGUUGUAAACCGCUUUCGCCGGUGACGAGGCGUGAGUGACGGUAAUGGGUAAGGAAGCACCGGCUAACUACGUG